AUUCAACAGAUAUUUAACAGAUUAAUUUUAUAGAGAACUUGAGUGGGUAACAGUACCAUUUAACUACUUUUGAUGCAAUUUCUCUAGGAAUUAAGCUGUGCAAUCCUGGCUCUCCAAACUCACCUUGAGCCUGCCUGGGAGCUGAUCUCACCAUGACUAGCUGCAGGUACAUUGGGAAUUCCUGAGCUCUCUUUCCAGGUGCAGAGGCAAGGGGGAAGCUGAGGAAGAGGAGGAGCUGCUUUGCAGAGCACUCAGAGGAAGGCAGGGAGUGCCAAAGCCUUGGCAUUGAACUCCCACAAAACGAUGAGUCAUGUGGAGCUGGUUGUUUCCUUGAGAAUAGCAAGGAGGAGGUGAAAAUCAUCUUUUGAAUUCAAGAGCCCAGGAGUGCCACGUGUGAAUUUAAUUUUACACAGAACCUAUGGCGCAAAGGUCCCCUGAUGCUUGAAGAGGAUCAGGAACUGCUUGGAGGACUCAGGAAUCCCACCCAAAACUGGAGCCAUUCCCCCAACAGGCACUCUGAAAUUGCCAUCAGCAGAAGCUGUUUGAAAAGGUAAGUGACUGCAAGCAAGAGAUAGAAUUAGCAUCAUCUGUUCUUUAAAACUACACCUGCCAUUAAAGUUUUAAAGAAAUGAGAUCUUAGCUGAAAUCAUCUUUGUAAUUUACUAACACUCAUUUCC
rnacentral:lncRNA from 1 species